UCAUGAUGCGUGCCUGCCCUUUUCUGUUGUGGAGUACUCUCUCAGCUACUUGGACAAACCAAAUAAUUGUGACCCAGACACCUGGUGUGGUUAAGAUGAUAGCCGGUGGCACGGUGACUUUGAAGUGCCACGUUGAUCAGAUUCUCGCCUUUUGCCACUCAGUGACUUGGAUGAAAGUAGACGCCAGGACUGGAACAAUGAGCACAAGAACUAACGUAAAGAUUAAUACGACCUCUGAGGUGGGGAAACUGGACAGAGUAUGUUCGGCAACCAUCACCAACGCAUUAGUGAGCGACUCUGGCAUGUACUACUGUUUGGCUGUUCACUCCAAGGCGGUCCACACUGGCAACGGAUCCAAUCUAAUCGUCACAGAGAGCAGCACUGAAUCCCCAAACAUCAAAAUCUUCUCAUCAGACAGCGACGGCUCCUCCGCCGCUCUGCUGUGUUUGGUGUCAGGAGUGGUCCCGUCUCAAGUCCAUGUGUUCUGGCUCAUAGACGGGAGAGAGGACAGUGGACUUACUGAGUCCACCUGGACAGACAACAGUGAUUCAGCCACAGAGUUCACUAGGAACCAGAUUCUAGUCCAGGCAGAGGAGUGGGACAAAGGGGUUCAGUGUACGUGUGUGGUGGAGUUUGAGGGAAAUUCUAUCAACAAAACUGUGCAAAGAAUAGAUCUUGGCGUGCUGUCUUAUGUCACAGUGUGGAUAUACAGACUUCUGGGAAUAACUGCCUGGCUUCUGUUGUUGAUCCUGGCUACCACUGUGGCAGCAUGCAGGGGCAAGACUAGAGGUGUUCAGAGGAAUGAUACCUCAAAGAACAGGGGACAAAGGCAUAAUUCAUCAUAAAAAGGGUUUACAGUUUGUCAUUUGUACAAUGUCAUUUUGGUUGCAUUGACGUGUGUCAAGACCAUUGGGAAAAGUUGUUUAUUUUUGUUGUUGUUGUCGUCUCUUGCUUAACUGUUGCUAACUAUUCAAAAAUAAAAGUGUAAAUUGGGAAAAAGCUCAUUAGAAUUUCAAAUUGCGGUUAUAUUUUUUCUCAUAAAACAUAUUCAUACUGAAUUAUUAU